GGCGGCCCGGUUAGCUCAGUCGGGAGAGCACCCGCCCUGAAAGCGAGGUGUCCCGGGUUCGAGUCCCGGACUUGCCG